rnacentral:rRNA from 1 species
AGUGAACGCUGGCGGUAGGCCUAACACAUGCAAGUCGAACGGCAGCACAGUAAGAGCUUGCUCUUACGGGUGGCGAGUGGCGGACGGGUGAGGAAUACAUCGGAAUCUACUUUUUCGUGGGGGAUAACGUAGGGAAACUUACGCUAAUACCGCAUACGACCUACGGGUGAAAGCAGGGGAUCUUCGGACCUUGCGCGUUUGAAUGAGCCGAUGUCGGAUUAGCUAGUUGGCGGGGUAAAGGCCCACCAAGGCGACGAUCCGUAGCUGGUCUGAGAGGAUGAUCAGCCACACUGGAACUGAGACACGGUCCAGACUCCUACGGGAGGCAGCAGUGGGGAAUAUUAGACAAUGGGCGCAAGCCUGAUCCAGCCAUACCGCGUGGGUGAAGAAGGCCUUCGGGUUGUAAAGCCCUUUUGUUGGGAAAGAAAAGCAGCAGGUUAAUACCCCGCUGUUCUGACGGUACCCAAAGAAUAAGCACCGGCUAACUUCGUG